GACGAACGCUGGCGGCGUGCUUAACACAUGCAAGUCGAGCGGACAGGCCCUUCGCGUUACUCGAUCGGCGUACGGGCGAGUGACACGUUAGUAACUUGCCCCCGACUUUGUGAUAAUCCUCGGAAAUGGGGGCUCAUACCGUAAUAGCCACAGCUUCGCUUAGCGUCUGUGUGGAAAGGUUUUCGGCGUUGGAUGGGCUCGCUGCAGAUGAGCUUGUUGGGGGGGUGCUGGUUUACCAAGGCGCGGAGGGGUAGCCGGCCUGAGAGUGGGACCGGCCACAAUAGGACUGAGAGACGGCCCAGUCUCCUACGGGCGGCAGCGGUGGAGAAUAUUGCACAACGGGCGGGAGCCUGAGGCAACGGCGCCGCGUGCGGGAAGACGGCCUUCGGGUUGUAAACCUCUUUCAGCGGAGACGAAGCCUAAGUGACGGUACCUGAAGAAGAAGCGCCGGCCAACUACGUG
rnacentral:rRNA from 1 species